UACGUAGGGGGCAAGCGUUGUCCGGAAUCAUUGGGCGUAAAGCGCGCGUAGGCGGCCCGGUAAGUCCGUUGUGAAAGUCAAAGGCUCAACCUUUGAACGCCGAUGGAUACUGCCGGGCUAGAGUCCGGAAGAGGCGAGUGGAAUUCCUGGUGUAGCGGUGGAAUGCGCAGAUAUCAGGAGGAACACCAGUAGCGAAGGCGGCACUCUGGGCCGGUACUGACGCUGAGGAGCGAAAGCGUGGGGGAGCAAACAGG
rnacentral:rRNA from 1 species